ACCUCGCCAGGAGCAGUCAUUUUGGUUUUUGGAAUGACUUCCUCUUCCACAGUCUCUGCAGCUCUCUGGAGAAGGCAGGGUCUGUGCAUGGAGCAAUGCAGACAACAAAAAAACACUCCCGGGGACCAAUACAUGGCAGAGAUGGGAACGGAUUCCUUCCUGACCGCUACAGAGAAUGGCCAACACCCUGAAGCAUGAGAUGUGACUCUCUCUAGCACGGCACCAGAAGGGACACAGGGAUUUGCCGUAUUGGAUCCAGCCACUGAGCAGGCCUGGCUAGGGUUGCCAGAUAUUUU